rnacentral:lncRNA from 1 species
GUGAGCAUGGCCUAGCCUAAGGUGCCAUUUAUGAAACUCACUAUCUACUUUAUCAGAAGACACAGCAGUGUUACAACCAACAGAUUUAUUCAAAACAGGAAAAUUAACAUAGCUAGAGUAAAUGGACUUAUUCAAAGGGAAAGUAUUUUGAGACUGAGCUUUUGAACUGGCUGAAGUGUUGGUGAUGAAAUUGAAAGGCUUGAACUGAUAUAAGCCAUCUGCUCCAACAUUGCCCUCAAGAAGGAUUUGCUUAGAAUCCUGA